rnacentral:rRNA from 1 species
CAGCCGCCGCGGUAAUACGGAGGGUGCAAGCGUUAAUCGGAAUUACUGGGCGUAAAGCGUGCGUAGGCGGUUCGUUAAGUCUGUUGUGAAAGCCCCGGGCUCAACCUGGGAAUGGCAAUGGAUACUGGCGAGCUAGAGUGUGUCAGAGGAUGGUGGAAUUCCCGGUGUAGCGGUGAAAUGCGUAGAGAUCGGGAGGAACAUCAGUGGCGAAGGCGGCCAUCUGGGACAACACUGACGCUGAGGCACGAAAGCGUGGGGAGCGAACGGGAUUAGAUACCCGCGUAGUCCCUGUCUCUUAUAC